CUUUGGUUAGUCUACAAAAAAAGUAUACUUACUAGAGACUCCUUAUUGAAGAGGGGGUGGAAAGGACAAAGUAACUGUGUGUUUUGUGGGAAAGAUGAACCAGUUGAUCAUCUAUUUUUCACAUGUUCGGCUGCUUCUAUGAUGUGGAGUUUAAUCAAAUGUUCAUUUGGGCUGAGAAAAACUCCAUCAUCAGUCCAAGAAUGUUUCAGGGAAUGGUUAGACACAUUUAGGGCGAAUGAUAAGAAAAGGGUGUUAGUUGGGAUUGCUACAGUAUUCUAG
rnacentral:rRNA from 1 species